CGCGAAGUGUACGACCUCCCCU
rnacentral:miRNA from 13 species